ensembl:lncRNA
AUUUGAAAUAAUUUAUUUGAACUGUGUUGCAAUUAUAAACGCUAACAAACCACACAUUUGAACUUUUUAAGAAUGUAUGAAACAAUUACAUGAUGGAGGAAUCCAAACGCUUAGCUUUCAUGUCUUUCAUAUUGUCUGUUUUAUAUCUCUGGUUUAAGUUGAGGGGAAUUAAAGCCAGCCUUGUUUGGAAAACACAUUUUUGGACCUUCAAACCUUGACCAACCAAUCAGCGGUGUUGUUUGGACUUUUUGUGUAAGCCUAACAAAAAGAUACUUUUUGUAGUGAGGACCAGGUGAUGAUGCAGACUGAAUGUCACUGUGCGAUGAGCAGCAGCGCCGCCGUGCCAGAUAUUCUCAGUUUCCCAUCACACACAAAUGCAUCCCGGACUUGUUCUGUGUCACAUGUCUAUUAUCGUUCACACCAGGUGCGUUAGCUAAUUUGUAUGUGUUUAAAUGUUUUCCCUCUGCUCCCCACAUUGUGGAUCAUUGUUAUUGUCAGUUCGUGUAUCGGUAAGUGUUAUGUGUAUGUACUGUUUGAAGAUUUCUUGUUAAGACGCGUUGUCAUGCACUUUUGUUUCAUUCAGUUGAUAGUAUAGUUUUUCCGUCCGUUGUUCGGUAGAAGCGUCAGAAUGUCUUAAUCGCAAACACGUUUGCCGGCUCACCGC